CAACCUGUCUGUUUAACUGAUAAGAGUACUGCAUUCCAGUGUGGUUAAGUAAUCUGCCCAAAAUCAAACAGCUAGUGGGGAGCUGGCCCGAAGGAAAAGAGCACGUCUUCUCUCUCUUUGCUAUGAAGCUAAUAAGGCAGACUUUCUCAGUGGAUUCAGUAGAAGGAAAUGUUUGAUUCCGCAAAUUUUUUUUGGAUUUUCCUCAAGACCGUACAAGUCACGGUGGGAAGACUUGAAGAACCAGACAUGGUGUCCUCAUGGCUCUUAGUCAUGUAGGUGUAGAGAACUAACUGUACAGUGUAGCAGAGGAGUUUUAAUAUGUGGGUCCCUAUGAUCAAAUGAGGGACUUGCUUUGCACCCCAUGUUUGAUGAGGCUCCUGUUACUGGCAAGGAAUUCAGCCUUCCAAAUCUGUGCUGGGACAUGGGGCUCCAGGGACCUGGCAGCAGACACAGGAGAAGACACAUGUGUAGAGGUAGGCCAGUAGACUCCCUGUCCCUCACCCCCCUUUGACAGAGAUGACUGAGGUCUGAGGUCUGCUGCCUGCCACCACCCACCCGCAGCUACUUCCUGACUCUGCAGCCUUGGGCAGAGUCUCCCAGUUUGGAUCCAGGAAGCAUACCAGAUGAUGGUGGUAGGCAGCCUCUGCGAUGGCCCCCCCAAAGUCCCCACCUCCUCGGAUCCAUGCUGUCAUGGAAUCCUCUCCCUUUCAGGAUGUGCUGGACCUAGUGACUGGAUUCUCACGAACAGGAUAAAAAUGAGGGGACAGUACUUCUGAGCUUAGGUUAAGAAAGCACUUCCAUCUUCGGUGCUCUCUGGCUCUGAGGAAGCUGGCUGCUAGGCUGUGAACUGCCCUGUGAGAGGCACACGUACCAAGGAGCUGAAGUCUCCUGCCAGGGAGGUCUACCAACAACCAUGUCCGUGCCCCUCAAGCCCCAAGAUCACUGCUGCCCAUCCGCCGUCCUGACGCAGUCUGUGAAGGAUCCCUGAAAUCCGAGGUACCCAGCAAGGAGGUUCUGGAUUCCAACCCACAGAAACUGUAAGACAAUAAACGUUCGUUGUUUAAAUAUGUUCAAUUUUAGGGUAACUUGUUAGGCUGCAAUAUUAAAAAUGUGGAGUUGUCCUUCCUGGAUCACCCUUCAGCAAGGUUUGUCUCCUGUUGACCUUGAGCAAAUCACUGCUGUUCUCUGGGUCCAUCUCCUCCUCUACCUCCGGGGUUCAUGGCCAGUGUCCCAGGUCUCUGGUCCGUGAGGAUGUGGUCGAGGAUGUUACAAGAGGCCUAUGUGUUCUGCUGUGACGCAGACGGAGCCCAGCUAACUCAAGCUCCACAUCUCUGUAUGUGCCUCACAUUUUUCAUUCCUAUUAUCUGAAGUCUGUUUCUAAUUUCUGACAGAACCACCAUGGCCUAUUGUGGGCCGCACUCUGCGUGACAUGCCAGUUUCAUUUUGGAGUCACUGCUAUUGUCUUUUGCCCUGCUAAUCUCUCUUGUUUUGCAAAAAUGCCAAUAGAAUGCAUGAACCCAGAGAGCUGCCCUUGUGCCCGAUCUUGGCGCUGUGUGGUCCCCACACAGGGGUGGAUGAUAGACAGACAGACCGUCUGCCACCCGAGGCAUCUUUUCUUGCUUAAAAAUUUGCCUUCCAGAUUGCAGACUCCCUUCCAACUUGAGCAAAGACGAACAUACUAAAUAAAAGCAGAGCUGAAAUUGGACAGAAUGUCUCAGCCCCUUCGAUUCAGACCUCGCUUGCAGGGGAAAGCGUGGGGAAGCGGAGGGGGCUCCGAUGGAUGUGCCUGCAUGGGGAACGCAGGGGAGGAAGGCGUCCAUACCUUUCUCCUACCAUUCGUGCCUGCAGCGGGGCCUGUCACCCAGGACCCAUCACUUAUGUAUGGUGUCCAUGGCAACCAGGCAAUGAAUAAAAUAAUUAGUGUGUGAUAAGGAUGCAGGAAAGGGCGACCGCUCCCGUCAUUAAUGCCUUCCCUGCUCCUGGAGGGCCGUGGCAGGCAGGGGGAGGGAGGAAAAUGUUAGCAUGCAUUCGGCUGGUAAUUAAGCAGCGCGAGCCAUCUGCACGUUGAAAGCUCUACAUUUUUCACGUCUCGUGGGGGCAUCGAAAUUUUCCAGACUGGAUCAUAUCCCCUGUCAGCCUCCACCCUGGCUUGCUAUGGAAGCCCCUCCAGCCCCCUGACCCCAAUCACUUAAAAUGCCUUGUGAACUCCGUUAUUCCUUUCUUGAAAUGCGUCAACCAGAACUGCACAUUCUUUGCAAAGUAAGUGCCUAAGAAAUAUUGGAGGGAACAGGAUACAGAUGUCUCUGCUGUCAUAGCAUAUACUUGUUCCUGAGAAGCUCCCAUGGUCUAGGGCAUGGACUGGUGGGGACAAAACUGGGUUGGGACAGACCACACUUAAAGCCCUACAACUCUGUAACCAAAGCACUCUCAAAAACUUUGUCAAAGCUAACAAAAAUGGGGGCGCCUGGGUGGCUCAGUCUAUUAAGUGUCUGUCUUCCGCUCAGGUCAUGAUCUCUGGUCCUGGGAUGGAGCCUGCACUGGCUCCCUGCUCUGCCUGCUUCUCCCCCCUACCCACUCUGCUGCUCCCCCACUGCCUGUGCUCAAGCUUGCUCUCUCUCAAAUAAAAUCUUUUAAAAAAGUAAAAACUAAAAUAAUGGGAGCCCCACUAAACCCCAAUGUGCACAAACAUCUACACAUGGCAUCCUGGCCUUGAGCUGGGGGCUGCUCACGACUUGAACGUGGUGCUUUAGAAAUAAAAGUCCUGGAGGACAUUA